AUUGAACGCUGGCGGCAGGCUUAACACAUGCAAGUCGAGCGGAGAUGAGGUGCUUGCACCUUAUCUUAGCGGCGGACGGGUGAGUAAUGCUUAGGAAUCUGCCUAUUAGUGGGGGACAACAUUCCGAAAGGAAUGCUAAUACCGCAUACGUCCUACGGGAGAAAGCAGGGGAUCUUCGGACCUUGCGCUAAUAGAUGAGCCUAAGUCGGAUUAGCUAGUUGGUGGGGUAAAGGCCUACCAAGGCGACGAUCUGUAGCGGGUCUGAGAGGAUGAUCCGCCGCACUGGGACUGAGACACGGCGCAGACUCCUACAGGAGGCAGCAGUGGGGAAUAUUGGACAAUGGGGGGAACCCUGAUCCAGCCAUGCCGCGUGUGUGAAGAAGGCCUUAUGGUUGUAAAGCACUUUAAGCGAGGAGGAGGCUACUGAGACUAAUACUCUUGGAUAGUGGACGUUACUCGCAGAAUAAGCACCGGCUAACUCUGUGCCAGCAGCCGCAGUAAUAC
rnacentral:rRNA from 1 species